GAAAGAUUCAUCGCUGAUAGAUAGGCAUGCGUUCCAUUAGGCAGUUGGCGGGGUAACGGCCCACCAAACCGACGAUGGAUAGGGGUUCUGAGAGGAAGGUCCCCCACAUUGGUACUGAGACACGGACCAAACUCCUACGGGAGGCAGCAGUGAGGAAUAUUGGUCAAUGGGCGUAAGCCUGAACCAGCCAAGUCGCGUGAGGGAUGAAGGUUCUAUGGAUCGUAAACCUCUUUUAUAAGGGAAUAAAGUGUGGGACGUGUCCUAUUUUGUAUGUACCUUAUGAAUAAGGAUCGGCUAACUCCGUGCCAGCAGCCGCGGUAAUACGGAGGAUCCGAGCGUUAUCCGGAUUUAUUGGGUUUAAAGGGUGCGUAGGCGGCCUCUUAAGUCAGCGGUGAAAGUCUGUGGCUCAACCAUAGAAUUGCCGUUGAAACUGGGGGGCUUGAGUAUGUUUGAGGCAGGCGGAAUGCGUGGUGUAGCGGUGAAAUGCUUAGAUAUCACGCAGAACCCCGAUUGCGAAGGCAGCCUGCCAAGCCAUGACUGACGCUGAUGCACGAAAGCGUGGGGAUCAAACAGGAUUAGAUACCCUGGUAGUCCACGCAGUA
rnacentral:rRNA from 1 species